AAAUUGAAGAGUUUGAUCAUGGCUCAGAUUGAACGCUGGCGGCAGGCCUAACACAUGCAAGUCGAGCGGAAACGAGUUAUCUGAACCUUCGGGGAACGAUAACGGCGUCGAGCGGCGGACGGGUGAGUAAUGCCUAGGAAAUUGCCUUGAUGUGGGGGAUAACCAUUGGAAACGAUGGCUAAUACCGCAUAAUGCCUACGGGCCAAAGAGGGGGA
rnacentral:rRNA from 1 species